GGGUCGUUAGCUCAGUUGGUAGAGCAGUUGACUUUUAAUCAAUUGGUCGCAGGUUCGAAUCCUGCACGACCCCACCA
rnacentral:tRNA from 1 species